GCCGAGGUGGCCCAACGGCAGAGGCGGCCCGCUCAAACCGGGUUCAGUGCGGGUUCGAAUCCCGCCCACGGCA
rnacentral:tRNA from 1 species